GUUCACACCUCUCUCUACCUACCCUUCAUCUCCUUGACGAUUUAUUUUAAAUUCUGAGGGGAGCAAAGAAGUUAAUGGUUUUAAGGAUUUUUUUUUAUCUGUGCACAACUUUUCUACCAGAAGACUUACUCAGAUUUUUAAGUAUACCACCUUUUCUGAAAGGAAAUCGGUGGGGAGGUCCUUAUAGUAAUAAGGAGGUCAUUUUUCAAUUUUUUUCAAGAGUUUUCUCAUCGAAUAAGAAAAACCGAAAAAAAAAAAACGGGAAAAUAUAAGAAAUGUAAGUAUUAGUUAAAAUGU